rnacentral:rRNA from 1 species
UUGAAAGGGAAACGAUUGAAGUCAGUCGUACCGACGGACAAUCAGCCUUUUGAGUGAGAUUGUGUGGGGCAUGAGGAGGAAACCCUCAUGUUUUGCAUAUUUGUGCUCUUUGGGCGUAUUUGUUCGUAUGGUGGGUUAACAUCAAUUUUGGUCGUCAUAAAAUGACGGGAGGAAUGUAGCUUUGGUCUCGUAUUGAAGUGUUAUAGCCUCUGGUAGAUGUGACGACCGGGAUUGAGGAUUGCAACGGAUACCUCUCGGGGCUACUCGCCUGAUCUCUGAUCGUUACUCUGGUGCCGAAAGCUUGCUUAUGUCAUCAAAGUUGAUGGUCAAAAGGUUAGAACCGGGUUAAAUUCAUUAAGGAUGUUGACGUA